rnacentral:rRNA from 1 species
AUUGAACGCUGGCGGCAUGCCUUACACAUGCAAGUCGAACGGUAACAGGUCUCCGGAUGCUGACGAGUGGCGAACGGGUGAGUAAUACAUCGGAACGUGCCUAGUAGUGGGGGAUAACUACUCGAAAGAGUGGUUAAUACCGCAUGAGAUCUACGGAUGAAAGCAGGGGAUCGCAAGACCUUGUGCUACUAGAGCGGCCGAUGGCAGAUUAGGUAGUUGGUGGGAUAAAAGCUUACCAAGCCGACGAUCUGUAGCUGGUCUGAGAGGACGAUCAGCCAAACUGGGACUAAGACACGGCCCAGACGCCUACGGGAGGCAGCAGUGGGGAAUUUUGGACAAUGGGCGCAAGCCUGAUCCAGCAAUGCCGCGUGCAGGAUGAAGGCAUUCGGGUUGUAAACUGCUUUUGUACGGAACGAAAAGCCCUGGGUUAAUACCCUGGGGUCAUGACGGUACCGUAAGAAUAAGCACCGGCUAACUACGUGCCAGCCGCCGCAGUAAAAC